rnacentral:rRNA from 1 species
UACGAAGGGGGGCUAGCGUUGCUCGGAAUCACUGGGCGUAAAGCGCACGUAGGCGGACUCUUAAGUCGGUGGUGAAAUCCUGGAGCUCAACUCCAGAACUGCCUUCGAUACUGAGAGUCUUGAGUCCGGGAGAGGUGAGUGGAACUGCGAGUGUAGAGGUGAAAUUCGUAGAUAUUCGCAAGAACACCAGUGGCGAAGGCGGCUCACUGGCCCGGUACUGACGCUGAGACGCGAAAGCGUGGGGAGCGAACAGG